UCUUUGAUGGUCUAACGGUCAUGAUUUCCGCUUGUCAGUCAUGCACGCGCGGGAGACCGGGGUUCGACUCCCCGUCAGAGAG
rnacentral:tRNA from 1 species